CGAGAGAAAAAAUCAUUGCGACCGGCUAACUUGACCCUAAUCGAGACAAGAAGACAAAAAAGAAUCAUUUUCGGGUUCAAUAUUUUUCUUUUUCGUUUGUCUGGUAUAUUUAUCGUCCUUCAACAUCAUUUUUCCAUUGCCGUGAAAUGAAAAAUAUAAUAAAUCACAAUCAAUGUUUUUGUUGUGUCUCUAUUGGCCCGAAUCGUUUACAAUACACACAAACAUCUGAUUUUAUCUAUCAAUGGUGGCUAUUCGUUGAUAAGAAAAAAAUAAAGAAGAAGAAACGAAAACGAAAUUCUCUAAGCAAAGAAAAGCUGAAAAUGAAAUUAAUGAUUCUUUUUUCCAAUUUUUUUUUUCAUCAUCCAGCAUUUUACGAUGAGAAAAGAAUCGUUUUU